rfam:Modestobacter marinus str. BC501 chromosome, complete genome.
CCGGCUGCCUCAUCAGAACCCAGGGCAGGGGUGGGGGACCCACGAACUCGGCGCACAUGCCUCCGGCAGUGCGCCUCGGGGUGAAGCCGCGGACCGCGGCCGGGCACCGAUCGCCCGAACCCGACAGCUGACCCCGCAGGCGGUGAUCGGAGAUCAG